GGGGAGAAAUGCUAAUGAUGACUAUUCAAAUGGACUAAUGUGAAACAAAAGGGUGGGAAAACUUCAAUCACUCUUUUUUGUAUUAUUACAGGUGCCCACUUUGAUGACUUGUACUAGCGCCUUUGAUCUCCAUCAUAGAAAAUGCUCUGCUCCAUUUCAAAAGAGAUUGUCAUAUAUGCCAUUUGCCAUUCACUGGCCUUUGGAUCAAACCAACAACAGACCUCACAGAUAGAAUUCCACCAAUGGCCAUUCACAAAGAGUUUACUCUGCAGUUUGCUCCUGAAAUUUCAAGGGCUUGUGACCUGUCUGUAUGUUGAUUUCUCACGUUGGGGAAACAAGUACCAUGUAAGUAUCAUAAACUUUGCCCCAUAUUGAUAUAU
rnacentral:lncRNA from 1 species